GAAGUCUAAAUAGUAACAUACAC
rnacentral:siRNA from 1 species